rnacentral:tRNA from 1 species
GUCCAGGGAUGGGAAUCGAACCCACAGUGUUCCGUUAACAGGCAGAUGCCAUGUCCACUAGGCUACCCUGGA